CGGAGGUUCUGACAUCUUCGAGUUUUGCAAAGCUGUUCUUCAUUGGUUCCACAGUCUGCGGUUCUUCUGUUUGAACUAAGAAAGCAAGCCUUCACUCUCUAGCACACUGCCACCUUUUGUCCGGGAGAAGCAUAGCAAGCAGCGGAAGAGACUUGGGCCAGCAAGAUGGCACAGUGGAUAAAGACUCUUGAAGCCAACUCUGAUAGCCUGAGCUGUAUCCUGGGAACUUCAUGAUGGACUGAAAGAACUAACUCCUCCAAGCUGCUCUCUGAUCUCCUAAUCUAUGUGCACCAAUGUGCAUGUGCAAACACAAGCUCAUAAUGAAUAAAUAAAAUGCACUAUAAAACAUGAAAA